AAUGUCGUUGUCUAUUGUUGCAGUUGUUGUCAAUAUUCCGUUGAUCCACUCGAUGUAAAUCAACUUGUGAGUGAAGGUUAUUGGCCUGCUACUUUAGCAAAUACCCAAUACCAGUUUUUUCUUAAGAUUUUCUCACCAAGUGGGAUUUACUUCAAAAGCACCUCCCUGGAUCAUCUGAAAGUGGUUUUCUCAGAUCUUUGGAAGAUUUCUCUAUUUUAAGAGGAAGGGUUGGUGUUAUAAAUGACUCUGCAUUUAGUAUUGCAUUUAAAGAAUGGAAGUUCUGCAACCAUGAGAUUAAUUUGCUACAAUUCAAGGACUUUAUGGUAUGCCCAGCCUGUGCUACCUACCAGCACUCAGCCCAUGUGGACGGCAAUGCCAAGUUGUAUCGUUACAAGUCAGCUGGAGAG